rnacentral:lncRNA from 1 species
CAGCAUACAAGGUGUGCCACUGCUACUUGUCGCUGGGGAAGCACAUGUUCCUGCUUGUGGGGAUGCGCCCACUGUUUCCAACACAAAUGUGGGUCAGGCCACUUUUGUAUGGCCCUGGUUGUCAAUGUCCAUCACUCGCCUAGCCCCAUGCCAGAGGUGUUUGCUUAUUUAUCAAGCCAGUUGUUCUUACUGAUGUAUCUGAGAACUGCUAUGUUGACCUUUCAGGGAGAGUUAAACAGACAGAGAGGCCUUGUCCCUUCUAAUUUCCUGGAAGCUGUGUCUCUGGAUGGAGGAGUUUCUGAGGGACUUCAUUCAAAGGAUAAAGAUGGCUGUGCAGUGAGUGUCGAGAGUCAGCUCAAUUUAGAUGGGCCUGGUGACCUGUCAGCAAACACCUUUGAAGUGCCGCCAUCCUGCCGUGUCACUGGUGUCCCAAGUCCAGAGCAAGUAGUGUUUGAGACUCCUGAAUCCAGUGUUUUGCCUGUUCAAACUAAAAAAAAGAGAGGCUUCUUCUUCAAGGGAAAACAGCUCUUCAGAAAACUAGGGUCCAGCAAGAAGAACUGAAAAUGGAUGUUACCGAACUAUUUAGACUUGUCCAUAAGCCAGGCAUGGACUGUAAAUUCAGGACAUGCCCUCUGCAAUAAACUGACCUGCCACAGAGUAUUUUCA